rnacentral:snRNA from 1 species
GUGCUGGCACACAUACUAAAAUUGGAAUGAUUUAGAGAAGAUUAGCACAGCUCCUGAGCAAGGAUGACAAGAAAAUUUGUGAAGUUUUCCAUAUUUUU